rnacentral:rRNA from 1 species
UACGGGGGGGGCAAGCGUUGUUCGGAAUUACUGGGCGUAAAGGCUCGUAGGCGGCCAACUAAGUCAGACGUGAAACCCCUCGGCUUAACCGGGGAACUGCGUCUGAUACUGGAUGGCUUGAGAUUGGGAGAGGGAUGCGGAAUUCCAGGUGUAGCGGUGAAAUGCGUAGAUAUCUGGAGGAACACCGGUGGCGAAGGCGGCAUCCUGGACCGAGAUCGACGCUGAGGCGCGAAAAGCUAGGGGAGCAAACGGG